GUCCUCCUUAUGUGAUCUCUAUGGGCCCUCCAUGGGUCCUCUCUAUGAUCCUCUCUAUGGUCUUUUGGUCCUCCCCGUGGGUCCUCCUCUCUUUAAGGUGGUCCUCCCUAUGGUCUUUCUCCGGAGACUCUAUGGUUUCUAUGGGCUCCUCCCCAUGGCUCCUCUCUAUGAUCCCUUAUGCUCCCUAUGGGUUUUCUCUGUGGGCCUCUCUAUGGUCCUUUCUGUGGGAUCUCUCUGUGGUCGUCUCUAUGGUUUCUAUGGGUCCUCCCUGGGGGUCCUCCAUGGGCUCUUUCUCGAGGGACUCUAUGGUUUCUGUGGGGUCCUCCCCAUGGCUCCUCUCUAUGGUCCGUGUGGGUCAUCCCUAUGGUCUUUCUCCGGGGACUCUAUGGUUUCUAUGGGCUCUUCCCCAUGGCUCCUCUCUAUGAUCCCUUAUGCUCCCUAUGGGUCUUCUCUGUGGGCCUCUCUAUGGUCCUUUCUAUGGGAUGUCUCUAUGAUCCUCUCUAUGGUUUCUAUGGGUCCUCCCUGUGGGUCCUCCACGGGCUCUUUCUCGAGGGACUCUAUGGUUUCUAUGGGGUCCUCCCCGUGGGUCCUCCCUAUGAUCUUUCUAUGGGGACUCUGUCGUUUCUGUGGGCUCCUCUCUAUGGUUUCUGUGGGUCUUUUUCUGUGGGUCCUCUCUCUGGCCUUUCUGUGGGGACUGUCCUCUCUAUGGGUCUCUCUGUGGUUUCUUUGGCUCCUCUCUAUGGUUUCUGUCUGUGCUGCUCCCUGUGGCUCCUCUCUAUGGUUGCUGUGGGUCCUCUUUAUGGCCUUACUCUGGGGACUCUAUGGUUUCUAUUGGGUCCUCCGUGUGGCUCCUCUCUAUGGUCCCUGUGCAUCUUCUCUAUGGCCUUUCUCUGGGGACUCUAUGGUUUCUAUUGGGUCCUCCAUGUGGCUCCUCUCUCUGACGUUUCUCUGGGGACUCUAUGGUUUCUAUGGGAUUCUUUCUAUGGCUUCUAUGGGUCCUCCCUAUGGGUCCUUUCUGGCCUUUCUCUGCGGACUCUAUGGUUUUCAUGGAGGUCCUCCUUGUGGAUCCUCUCUAUGAUCCUCUGUGGUCCCUGUGGGUUCUCUCUAUGGGUUUCUCUGUGGUUUCUUUGGGUCCUCUCUAUGGUUUCUGUCUAUGGUCCUCCCUGUGGCUCCUCUCUAUGGUCGCUGUGCAUCCUCUCUAUGGCCUUUCUCUGGGGACUCUAUGGUUUUCUGGGGCUCCUCACUAUGGGUCCUUCCUCUGGGGACUCUGUUUUUUUCUGGGGGUCCUCCCAGUAGCUCCUCUCUAUGGUCCAUGUGGGUUCUCUCUAUCACAUCUCUCUGGGGACUCUAUGGUUUCUGUGUGGUUCUCUCUCUGGUUUUCUCUGUGGUUUCUAUUGAGUCCUCCCUCUGGGUUCUCUCUGGUCUUUCUCUGGGGACUCUAUGGUUUUCAUGGGGGUCCUCCCAGUGGCUCCUCUCUCUGAUCCCCGUGGGUUCUCUCUAUCACAUUUCUCUGGGGACUCUAUGGUUUCUAUGGGGUUCUCUCUAUGGCUUCUAUGGGUCCUCCGUAUGUGUCCUCUCUGGCCUCUCUCUACAGACUCUAUGGUUUUUCUGGGGGUCUUCCCUAUGGGUCCUCUCUGGCCUUUCUCUACAGACUCUAUGGUUUUUCUGGGGGGUCCUCCCUGCGGCUCCUCUCUAUGGUCCCUGUGGUCCUCCCUGUGGCCUUUCUAUGGGGACUCUAUGGUUUUUCUGGGGGUCCUCCCUAUGGGUCCUCUCUGGCCUCUCUCUACAGACUCUAUGGUUUUUCUGAGGGUCCUCCCUGCGGUUCCUCUCUAUGGGGGUUCUCUCUAUCACAUUUCCAUUGGGACUCUAUGGUUUCUAUGGGGUUCUCUCUAUGGCUUCUAUGGGUCCUCCCUAUGGGUCCUCUCUGGCCUCUCUCUGCAGACUCUAUGGUUUUUCUGGGGGUCUUCCCUAUGGGUCCUCUCUGGCCUUCCUCUGCAGACUCUGUGGUUUUUCUGGGGGUCCUCCCUAUGGGUCCUCUCUGGCCUCUCUCUGCAGACUCUAUGGUUUUUCUGGGGGGUCCUCCCUGUGGCUCCUCUCUAUGGUCCCUGUGGUCCUCCCUGUGGCCUUUCUAUGGGGACUCUAUGGUUUUCUGGGGGUCCUCCCUAUGUGUCCUCUCUGUCCUCUCUCUGCAGACUCUAUGGUUUUUCUGGGGGUCUUCCCUAUGGGUCCUCUCUGUCUUCUCUCUGCAGUCUCUAUGGUUUUUCUGGGGGUCCUCCCUGCGACUCCUCUCUAUGCU
ensembl:lncRNA uncharacterized LOC110390475